rnacentral:rRNA from 1 species
UCUUNCCAGAAAGGGACGGCUAACUACGUGCCAGCAGCCGCGGUAAUACGUAGGUCCCGAGCGUUGUCCGGAUUUAUUGGGCGUAAAGCGAGCGCAGGCGGUUAGAUAANUCUGAAGUUAAAGGCUGUGGCUUAACCAUAGUACGCUUUGGAAACUGUUUAACUNGAGUGCAGAAGGGGAGAGUGGAAUUCCAUGUGUAGCGGUGAAAUGCGUAGAUAUAUGGAGGAACACCGGUGGCGAAAGCGGCUCUCUGGUCUGUAACUGACGCUGAGGCUCGAAAGCGUGGGGAACAAACAGGAUUAGAUACCCUGGUAGUCCACGCCGUAAACGAUGAGUGCUAGGUGUUGGGUCCUUUCCGGGACUCAGUGCCGCAGCUAACGCAUUAAGCACUCCGCCUGGGGAGUACGACCGCAAGGUUGAAACUCAAAGGAAUUGACGGGGGCCCGCACAAGCGGUGGAGCAUGUGGUUUAAUUCGAAGCAACGCGAAGAACCUUACCAGGUCUUGACAUCCCGGUGCCCGUCCUAGAGAUAGGAUUUUGCUUCGGCACACCGGUGACAGGUGGUGCAUGGUUGUCGUCAGCUCGUGUCGUGAGAUGUUGGGUUAAGUCCCGCAACGAGCGCAACCCUUAUUGUUAGUUGCCAUCAUUUAGUUGGGCACUCUAGCGAGACUGCCGGUAAUAAACCGGAGGAAGGUGGGGAUGACGUCAAAUCAUCAUGCCCCUUAUGACCUGGGCUACACACGCGCUACAAUGGCUGGUACAACGAGUCGCAAGUCGGUGACGGCAAGCUAAUCUCUUAAAGCCAGUCUCAGUUCGGAUUGUAGGCUGCAAC